GGGAGGUGGGAAACGAGGGGGGACAGCUUCCGAGGCCGCCCCCUUCUUCUCCCCGACCCUCGUCCUUCCCCAAUCGGGUCGGGAUAUGAAAGUCAGCGACGGGGUGCGGGGAGCGGACCCAGCGGAUUUAGACAACGCAGACAGAGCACAGGGAAUGGCAAUCAAGACACGAAACGAGCAGUAUGUGGCUUGUGACUUAUCUUCCUGAGGAGAGUGACCAAGAUGUCUGUUUGGAAUUAUUCCUGGAAUUAGACCAGCAUGAGGUCUCCUCUACCAAUCUAAGUUUGACAUACCCGGUGCGUUGGCACAGUCACAUUGCAAAAGCAAACAGUGAGAAGUGAACCCUCUGCGGGCAAACCAUCAGCAGCAGGGGCAGCAUCCCUUGAGCAUGCAUGGGUGUCAUGGGCACACGCAGCAGGACCACUGGCUCAUGGGCAGCUGCUCCAGAAGGAUGCGUUUCUGCAAGGGAUGGUGCUGACAUGUAGCAAGGAUGAAGCAUGAUGGUAUGGAAGAGCAAAGACUGGCACACCAGUUGGUCAGUGAAGGCUUUCUCCUUCUAAACCAAGCUUUGCAGCCCCAGAUCCUGGUAAACGGGUGCCUCCAGGAGGUCAAGAAAGAGCCCAGAUAGGCACAACGGCCGAGCACAGUGGUGGUUUGCAGCUCGAGGGCAGAGAGGAGCAGCUGGGUUGGCUGGGGUGGCACAGACCAACAGACCAGUCUGCAGCUGGCUGCCUGAAGUGGUUACAGAUGCACCGCUGGACAGUGGAGUUGGAGAAGUGAGCUUUUGGGCCCCAGCUGAGUGCAUAAACAUUGUCCUUGGCUACCUGAUACAGGCUGCUGUUUCCAGCCAGCAGAAAUGUACAACUAUUGUUACGUUUGCAAAAACACCUGGUCUUUGGUUAAAAAACAAGUUUAUUUUACCAAUGCCAAGUAGUUAAUAAAACACUUAUUAGCAAAGUAUUUUUUUCUGAGGUAACUUCUGUUUAUUACACUUUUAGAAUAUGGGCUGUGAUGACAGUCCUAUUUUACUUCAGGUACAAAAUACAGAUGAUCAUACAAUCGAAAAUACAACAAUUCCUAACUUCAGUCUUCCCACGUUCUGAAUAAAUGUUGGUCUUGCAACAGAACAAAAAGAUGUUGGCUUUUAUUUUGUUUUGCUUCUGCUUUAUGUUGUCUUUAGGAAAACUUUUUCUAUUGACAUUCCUAUGCAAUGUGAUUCAGGGCGUGCACACUAUGGCAUAUUUUAUUAACAUGUAAGAUGAAAUAUGCUACCCAUUGCAAGCCUUAAUAAAUAUGAAAGCAUUGCACAGUACAACAAUGUCUGUGCCCACUGCAGAGCUUUAAUUGCUUGGGAAAACUGAGCAAAAAUUAACUUCACAUCGUGAAGCUAUAAAACAAAUUAAGGACAUUGAAUCAUCUGCAAUGCCUCUGGUUAUAUCUACUAAAUAUUUUCUAACCAUUCUAAGAAAGCAAAACAGAAGGCAAACCCACCAUGAAUAGAAACAAUAAUGGUCAGUAGCAAGCAUUGCAUGUUGUUUGAAUGGAAAGCAAUUUAUCACUUCUGAAAUAAAAGCUGUUUAUUCUUGUGUUUCACUGUCUGUAGCAAUCUUUACAAUUUAUCUGUGAAAAAGUGAGGCACUGUACCACUAUUAGCAUAUGAAUAGUUGACACACCAAAUUGGCUGUACAAUAACAGAAGGACAUUUACUAUUGGUGUUAUGCACACAGACAAAGCAGCCAUUUUUGGGAAGAAAAAUAAAAAAAAAAAAAAAAAAA